rnacentral:rRNA from 1 species
UACGGGGGGGCAAGCGUUGUUCGGAAUUACUGGGCGUUAAAGGGCUCGUAGGCGGCCAACUAAGUCAUACGUGAAAUCCCUCGGCUUAACCGGGGAACUGCGUCUGAUACUGGAUGGCUUGAGUUCGGGAGAGGGAUGCGGAAUUCCAGGUGUAGCGGUGGAAAUGCGUAGAUAUCUGGAGGAACACCGGUGGCGAAGGCGGCAUCCUGGACCGAUACUGACGCUGAGGAGCGAAAGCCAGGGAGCAAACGGG